CAGGCAGCAGGGUCGGCAAGAUGGUAUCUCAGGAUCAGAUCCUCAUAUCCCUAUUGCUGUGGGUCUCUGGGGCCUAUGGAGCUAUCACAGUGACCCAGUCUCCACGCUCUCUGACUGGGUCUGUAGGAGAGACUGUUGCCAUCAACUGCAAGUCCAGUCAGAGUCUUUUGUGGAGCAGCAACAAUAAGAACUACUUAGCCUGGUACCAGAAAAAACCAGAACAGGCUCCCAGGCUGCUCAUCUCCUGGGCAUCCACUCGGGAAUCUCAGAUCCCUGACCGGUUUAUUGGCAGUGGGUCUGGGUCAGAUUUCACUCUCACCAUAAACAACCUCCAAGCGGAAGAUGUGGGAGAUUAUUACUGUCAGCAAUAUUAUGAGAACCCUUGCACAGUGCUUCAACCUCACACAAAAACCUCCCCAGGCCAUGGGUCAGUGAACCUUGGGGCACCACCUGCUUCCUCCUCAUACAUUCUUGAACUUGCAGCUUCUGCUCUGCCUGAGAGAUCAUGUUCCUCAUUUAUUCCACUAGAGGGUCUGCAGGAUGGGCCAAGAGAAAAUUAUGUAACACGGAUGUUUCUGGAUCCAAUGCUUUGGUUGGAGAUUUUUAAAAAUGCUAUAAAUAUCUUUAAAAGUGAUUGUUAG